AGUAAAGUUUGAUGUUGGCAUAGCUCAAUCCGAUCAAAAUUCUCAGUGCAGCUGAGUCCUUUAUUCUGAUUGAGCCGUGCCAAUAUCACAUUCAUUCUC
rfam:Citrus sinensis cultivar Ridge Pineapple sweet orange scaffold00038_contig_96, whole genome shotgun sequence.